rnacentral:lncRNA from 1 species
CUUCCGCUUGACGCUGGUCGGGAAGUAAUGGGCCAAAAGAAGCUCCUUGAACCUCGUCCAAGUGAUAGCCGCCAAGUCAGUGCUGGGGUGCUCCUGGAGAUCCAACCACCAGCGGUAGGCCUCGCCGUCCAAGUGGUGAGUGGCGAGCCAAACUCGAUCCCUCUCCUCCACGAAGGUGUCGCGGAAGAGCUUCUCCAUAUGCAUCAACCACUUCUCCACAAUCCAGUGGUCGACCUUCUCGCCGUCGAAGACUCGGGGACUGCACCUCUUGAACUCAUUGAGGCGCUCCAUCAGUCUGUCUCGCUCCGCCACCUCGACCAAUGUAGGGAAUGCAGCUCCUGCUGGGGGCCUCUGAACAGGUGGUGCCACCAAAACCUCCUCCUGGGGUGCGGCCACAGGUGCCGCACGAGAAGAACUGGGCGCGGGGGACGGCGCUCUUGGUGCAACGUCCACAACUGGUGCUCGCGGUGUAGGGGCCUGAGUCUCCCUAGAAGCUGCUGCCUGCUGGAGUAAAAGGUCCUCCAGGCGCUUCAUCCGCGCCUCCUGUCGGCGCGCCGCCUCAGUCUGCUGUCGGGCCGCCUCCACCUGCUGAGUGACUAAAUCAGUGAGGGCCGCAAGCUGGCCCCUCAACUCACGGACCUCGCUGGAUCCGGAGGUAGCGGAGGUCUUGACCUCAUCAAAGUUCACCCCAUUGUCCGCCCCGGCAGAUUGGGAGCGAGUAAUCGGCAUCGUCACUACAAAACAUAAAAGCGCAAGUUAGUAACCCACGCUAUCGCAUCCCCGCUCAAAUAGAUAGAGCCGAAAUCAUGCGAAAGUAAGGAAGUGUCCUUCACUACUAACUCCCGAUGUUACGUUGUCGACCGCCAACGUAAUCCUCCGCGAAGUUAGUAGCCAUACACUCCGAUCAAACUCUAACUUUCUAGAGUUAUCAAGAUACCCAAUCAUGGUACUUUCGCUCGCAAAUCAAAUAGACCUCGUCUCUCACGAGCCUAUUUCCUAUAGUCCAACCGGCCUAAGGUUUGCUAGGUCCCCUAAGACUCAACCCUAGGCUUUGACACCAAAAUAAUCUGUCACGCCCCGGGACCCAGCGGAAGCCCGCCCGGCACGUGUCCAGACCCGCCAUACGUCUAAAACAUAUAAGGCGUCUAAAAACAACGAUGAAAUGAGCAAUAAUAAAAGACAUCUAGGAGUAUCAGAGCAUACCAGAAAACUAAGUUCUACCAUAGAGAAAGUAACAUAAAGCUGAAAACCACUGAUAGAAACAUAAAGUAGUACAAAGGAGUCCCAUAAACAAGUGCAAAAGUAAAUACAUAGGUGGUCUUUAUACAUGGAUACAAAAUCUCCCACUCUCUCAACUACAAAAAGAAAGAGUAAACCACCUAGGCAAAGAAUCGCUCCUCGCUAGCUAGCUAUGCGAUCCCCUUGCCACGAUCCCGUGCCUCCGCCGGUGCCGAAGGCUCUGUAAGAAACCACGAAAACGAGGGCGUGAGAACUAUUAAAAAUAGUUCCCAGUGGGCAAUUACUGACUUUAGUGAACUGCGCCACAAGGCCCAAAAGCUACAAAGAGGAGUUCAGUGACAAAAAUGUAGUAAAGAAGAAGGUAAGUAAAAAUGUAACUCAUUAUAGCAUAAUGUCUCUACUUAGCAUGACUUGCAUAAGUAAUAAAGCAACUAUAACAUGAAUGUACAUGGAUGUGUAUAACAUGAAUAAGCAUAAGUAUGCAACCAAUACUAUGUUCUCAAGCAAAUAGUGAAUAUGUCAUUGUUUACUGUUCUAGUCCAUAUACUAAGUCAUCAUCUGUCUACAUGUCGUAGCGAACGCUCAAAGUCAAUUCUGAAAAGACCCACCCGAAGGCUGUCUAUGGCCCUGAGACCCACCCGUAGGCUGUCUGGCCGAUGCCGAGCCUAAUGGCCCCGUGGUAGUCAUCAUCCCCAUCCUAGGAAUGAGUCUGGCCCACGGCAAUCCACUUCGGCGCCCAAUCCCGCACGGCGAAUACGAAUCGUGAUGGCUAUCUCCGGAGUGCCGGCUUGUAGGGAGUGACCCUCACAAGCAUGUGCGAAUGAGCACAAUGGCAAGUAGUCAUAUGUCCUGUCACAAGUACCAAGUCCUCAUGUCUAAUAACAUGAAAUGUAUCGAAUGUCCCAAAGGCCUAUCUCUAUGACAUCAUGUCUCUAACAUGGAAUAUAUAGCAGAUGUAUAAUGGCCUAGCGUUAUGUCUCUAUAUUGCAGUUUCAUAGUUUACUAGUUUCAAGUGCCUCUUGAUGACACUUUGUGCUACUAAGUCCAAACAUAGUAUAAUGUUUCCAAUACACGAGUAUGAGCUAAUUUAGCAUACUAGACAGGAAUCCCAUUCGUCCACAUGAACACCCCUCACAUGCAUGAAAAUAACCCUGAUUACUCUACUAUAUAGAGUGAAAUUUAACUUACACAUAAGACAUGCAUUCUAAGUGUUCUAAAAUUCACAUAAAUUCUAAUUAGCAUAGAAAUGUAUUUAAAAAUACUUUACAACAAGUAUAGAGAACAUAGGGGCCAUUUUGCUCCUUUUCCACGAAGUCAAACCCACCGAUUUUUCGAACUCUUCGUUUCGUCGAACGAAGGUGUCCACUAGCCUCCUAGUACCCUAAGGAUGUACGAACAAGCGUUACCCAAACGAAACGAACAACGGAUUGCUCAAUCAUUAACCAAUUCGGGCUAGGAUUGAAGAAAACUCACCGAUUGCGAAGGAAGCUCUCUCGAUCUCUAAAUGGGAGCUAGAGUCCUUCCAACCUAACCUAAACGAAGGUUUUAAACCAAUCAAUUUGGUUCCAAAGCCCUCAAAUCGAAAAACCCUAUUUCUAACCCUAAUAUCCAAAAUCUAGGGUUUCAAUCAAAAUAACCAUCAAAACAUGCACCAAAAGGGAAAUACAUGUUACUAACCUCUCUAGAAGCUCCAAACUAGGCUCCAAUCCAAAUGGGGUUGAAGAUCCUCCCUCCACAAAGCUCCAAUCCCGAGCUCAAGGCUUCUCUCAUGGAGGAAACCCAAUAAGAAGCAAGAAAAGCAAGGAGGAGGAGGUCAAAACCUACCAAAAUCCAUCAAAAAUGGAAAGAAAACUCAAAGGGGGAGAGUCUCACCUUGUCUCCACAGAACUAGGGCUCAAAACCUUGUCUAAGGGGGCUGGGGUCACUUAUAUAGGUGUUGCGAUAAUUGCAAAAACACCCCUCCACGUAACAGCCCCAAUCUGCACUGUGUACCGGUACAUGGGUUUGUGUACCAGUACACAACCCACGAAUAGCCAAACUCGAGCCUCGGGUUGGCUGGGAAAUGCUCUGCGUACCAGUACACGAGCCCGUACCGGUACAGCCAUCAAUCCCGUACCGGUACAGCAAGCAAACCCGUACUGGUACACAGCUUGCUGAAGGCUACCCGAGAGCUGACCAAAAAUCCUACUUUUUGGAUUUUGGUGCACAGCUUUAAACCACGAUUCUCGGGACUCGAACCAUAGGUCGGGACACUGUCAACGACAUCCCACAAAAUGUGGAAAAGCUCGGAACACAAACCAGACACUCGACCUCGCUAUUUGCAAAGGUCCAGUGUGUUACAUUCACCCAUCCUAAAAAGGAGUUUCGCCCGCGAAACUCAAAAGCAAACGCCAUACCUCAAGACUCCAUCUGAAAAAGAUGGGGAUAGCGCUCUUGCAGCGCGCUUUCUACCUCCCACGUGGCCUCCCGCUCCCCGUGGUUGCUCCAAAGGACCUUCACAUACGGAAUAUCCCGAUUCCACAGCUUCUUCACCUCGCGAGCCAAAAUCUUCACUGGUUGCUCCUCGAAGCUCAAAUCCCCACGCAGUUCCACUGGUAAAGUCUCCAAAACGUGGGUUGGAUCAUGAAUGUACCUCCGAAGAACCGAUACAUGAAAGACGUUGUGCACGCCUGAUAGGUUCAGUGGUAGAGUAAGUCGAUACGCUACCAAUAGAUUCAUAAGAGGCAGCAACAUGUUAGUUCAAUGAACAGAUAGAUAUAUAUCUUGAUUAUGCAACUAAUAAAACCAUGCUUUGCCUCACGAAUGCAAUAAUGCCAUGCUAUAUGCGAAUCAUGCAACUAUACAAGUAGAAUGAAUGAUUUAACUUUCUAUCAUACUAUCCAUAGCUUUUCCAUAAUUUAUACAUCGUUGUCACUUUACAUCGUUGGUUAUUUGCUCCUAAGGUUUUCCUCUCUACCUUAGCUAAGCUAACCACCCGACUCGGUCUCGAGUCAAUCAUAUUGUAGUGCGUUUAUUCUUUGAAAAGUAACUCUCCCUUGGCUUUGACCCAAUCUUACCGGUUAACCUUGUUAACCCCAAUGACUCGCAACCCAAAAUCCCUUUUGAUCGAGGAGGCUUCGAGCACUUCCACUCGAGGGACCGUCUUUCGGGGCCACUAUCCCCGUGGUGACCUACUCCGGAGCGCACCGCUUGAGGGGGAGCUACCUCCCUCAAGCCAAGACUUAUCGUGAGUAUAGAUCCAAUCCUCAACUUGAGGACUCAUAGCCACUUGUCACAAUGCUAUUGUCAUAAUAGGUUUCUACUUAUUUAUUCUUGCCACUUUCUAAGUCAUACUUGUCUCAAUGCCACUCUUGGUUAAAUUAUGUUUAACAACUAUGUUCUCUAUACCAAUCAAUGUCUUUAUUAUCAAUAUCACCUUUGUUUACUAAUGUCCAAGUCCAACUCUCACAUUCACAUAGUAAUAGGGUCCUAACAUACAUGUCCAUUAUGGUUCUACCUUUCUCUAUGUUCAACUUCGUUAGAAACAUGUCAUUGAAAGCAACCAAGGUUCACAUGUACUUAGCCCUAUCAUGCAUGAAUGAUACAAAAGAAAUAUGCUCAAAUGCCACAAGUGUUUGCUAGGCUCAUGCCACUAGGUUCACACUGUACUUGUUCAACCUAUGUUCAAGACACUAGGUUUAAUGCCACUUGAUGUCCAACCUAUAUUCUUUGACACUAGGUUCAUGUCCAACCUAUGUUUAUUCACACUAGGUUCAUAUCAUCCAUGUUCAACCUAUGUCCAUGACUCUAGGUUUAAUGCCACUCGAUCUAAUGUAUAUAGAUUGUCCACAUCGAGCAUUACACUAGUUUUCCAAUGUCGAGUUCUCUAAUCAACCUAGAGUUAUCGACCCCAAGUUUAACAUGUAAAUGUCAACUAAUAUAAUCCUCUAUAUGUCAGCAUGCAUAGUUCAUCUAUCACAUGCAAUAUGUCAUCAUGCACAUAUACCACUAGCAUCACAUGAUAUGUCAUUUACUUAGCAUUCUUAUUUUAGCAUCCCUAAAACAUGCUUAUCAUACAUGGACUUAGCAUUUCUAUCAUGUCAUCAUCUAUAUUCUUAGCAUUAACCACAUGCUUGCAUUUAUUAUUUCUAUAUCAUGCUUAUCAUACUAUUACUUAGCAUUAUCCACAUGCAUGCUUAUCAUGUAUACUUUAGCAUUAAUCAAUGCAUUUAUCUAGCACUAUUUACACUAAGUCAUCAUGCAUUGUUUGGUAGCUCAUUUAGCCUUCAUCUCAUGCAUACUUAUGUUGUAUCAAUAGCUACCACUACAUGCAUCAAUGAUGAACAUUUAUCUUAGACAUACAGGCAACCUAGUCGCUUCGGUAAACACAACCCACCUCGUAACGCUCUCCGAUUGCUUGUCGACACUUGCAAUCGGCCUCCCGCGGCACCCGUAACCCGGUUCCGCCCGAUUUUGCUAAUACUCACCAACCGUGAGUCGAAUCGCGGCACCGAAAAUUAUAGGUCUUCGGUUAUGUGCCACGGUACUCCAAAUCCGUUUUCAUGACUUUACGAUGUCGCCUCGGCCCUCCAGGCGGAAACGAAGCAUAAACGUCUGUUUCUUUAAUAUCUUUACAACGGCUCGACGAAUCGCCGAACUGACUUCGCCAACGUGUUCGUUUACCUAGCAAUUAGGUUUACGGAGGGUCAAAUGAGAUCAAACCCUACUAUUUUACAAAACCCCAUUCGGAGCCCUAAUAUGCAAUUAACCUCCAAAUAAUCCAAAUUAAAUGGAGCAACAUACUAACAAUGCUCAUUAGAGGCUAUGAGAACAUUUAAAGCUAAGGAUUAAGCCAAAUCCCAAAAACUUACCACAAUGUGAACGCCGCGACGAAAGCACGCCGCUCCAACGGCAGCACGAGAGCUCGAACCGAUGCCUCCAACGCGUUCGCAAGCUCGCUCUCCACCAACCCUCAAAUUUUUAAAGAGAGAUGUGGAGAGAUGAGGGAGAUCUUUAGAGAGAAAAAGGAGAGCUUCUCUCUCCCUUCCCAUGCGUGUGUGUGUUGCGGGGUGGUGUGGUCGGCUGAGGAAGAAGAAGAAGCAAUGCUUCUUUUAAUAAAUACACCCUCCAACACUAUUCACUUCAGGUAGCUCGAAAUCUGAUAUCUUUUGCCGGAGUUCCCUGAAUAUCCGUUUGUGCUCAAAUUUGACAGUCUUGUUCAGUUUUACUUAUCGAGUCCAAAGAAAUUUUAAUAUUUCAGUUUCAACCCUGUUUGGUCACCGAAAGCUGUACCGAACUGUAAUCUUUAUCAGAUAACUGUCGGAUUUUAUUUUCCAUCUUCCGGGUGUUAGAAUGAUAUGAAACUUUAAAUCUAGCCUCAUAAAAAUAAUUCUGACUUAUCCUCCAGUUUUUAUAAUUUUCUGACACUGUGCAUUUUCUGCUAAUUUAUCUGUCCCGUUUCUAACAGAAAAUUCUAAAUCUUCUGUUUUCGUUCCGAUUUUAGCAUAAGUCAUUUUUGACUUAUAUUUUAUUUCUCUANAUCUCACACUAUUUUUUAUUUAUUUUUAUUUUUAUACCAAAAUCUGGCAUGUUAUACCUUCCCUGCCCGCCCAAGGCUCUAGCAACAAGUAUAAUUAAGUAAUCAAUCAAUGAGAAUUGCAAUUAUACCAGACUUGCACGAGGGCAAGCAACUUCCACUAUAUUCAGCUCAAAGUGUUAAUCAUAGCUGCUGAAACAGAUUCCAAAAACAGCUUUAUUGCUUUACCAAUAAACUUGUUAUAGCAUCAACAUAAGGCAAUUAACUAGCUAAUUUGUCAAGCCCCGACUCCGCCUAUUUGGUCGGAUUCGGGCCACGUCAACAGACGCCGAACGGACAGGACCUCCCCUGCCCGCCCAAGGCUCUAGCAACAAGUAUAAUUAAACAAUCAAUCAAUGUGAAUUGCAAUUAUACAAGACUUGCACGAGGGCAAGCAACAAUAUGAAUUAAAGCUCUAAACUACUACAAGCAACCACAUACAUAAUAUUUGAUUAUAUUUUAAUCAAAUACAAGUAAACUAAAACUAUUACAUUCAUUUUACUUUCAUUCAUAAUUUCUUUACAUCAUAAUCAUCCAACCCAAAAUACAUGAUUGUUUACAACUUUUACAUUUUUCUUGAUCAACAAAAUAAAAGUUGAUACAUGAACAAAAGGAAUGACUAUAAUGCAAAUACUCCGGUGGCCACUAUCUAUGGUGCAAGACCCUUGUCUCGAUCCUCUGCCACCCCGCUCGCACUCGGAUCUGUAGGGUUAGUGGUGUGAGAACUACAACGAAGUUCCCAGUGGGUUCGGCCAUCGAUCUUGCCGACUUACCCACUAGGUCUAUUUAGGCAUAAGUAUUUCAAGAAAAGGGAAUAGUAACCAUACUAAUGCUAAUACUAUGCCUGCAAGAAAACUGUCAACAAAUAGAUAUAUAAUCAUGUAACGAUGAAUAUGCAUGCAUGCUCUUUCCACAAUUUACCUUGGCUUUUACCCAAUUGUACCGGUUAAUCUUGUUAACCCCCAAAACUCACAACCCGAAAUCGCUAUUGACCGAGGAGGCUCCAAGCACUUCCACUCGAGGGACCGUCUUCGGGGCCACUAUCCCCGUGGUGACCUACUCCGGAGUGCACCGCUUGAGGGGGAGCUACCUCCCUCAAGCCAAAACUUAUCAUGAGUAUCGAUUCAAUCCUCAACUUGAGGACGUAUAGCCACAAUGUCACAAUGCCACAAUACUAUAACAGGUUUCUACCUUGUCAUAUAUGCCACACUUUAGGCUACACUUACCAUAAUGCAACUAAUGGUUAAACUUUGUUUAACGAUUCAUUUCUCAAUGUCAAUCUUGUCUCUAUUGUCAAUGUCACCUUUGUUUACUAUUAUUAUAGUCCAAGUCUCACAUUCACACAUGUAUAGGGUUCCAACAAACAUGUCCUCUAUGGUUCAUAUCAAUCACUAUGUUCAUCUACGUUAGAAGCAUAUAAUUGAAUCCCAACGAAUAUUCACAUGUAAUUUACUCUAUUACGCAUGAAUGACUAUUGACACAUAUGCUCAAUAAAAGGUGAUAUAGACAUAAAGGGGAAUCCAAUGAUUCCGGAGUGCAGCCCCUACCUCGUAUGGUAGUAAAGAUGCUACGGUUCAAUUCCUGGGAUUUGUAGACUCCUAUUCCGCGUGCUGCGGCGAUCUGUACCAAAAUAGAACCAAAUUAGGCUUUUUAUUCAAUAUCUUUACUUAGACAUUUUCGUUUCGCCAAACCGAGCGCACCAACGCGUCGGGAAUACCCCCAAUUAGGUUUCUACAAGGUCAAUUUACUUCGAAAACGAUCGAAGGCAAAAGCCCCAAAUUUGGUGCCCUAAUAAUGCCAUAUAUCAAUUUUUCCUAGAUUGAUCUUGGCACUAAGCAAACACUAGCUUAGAAUCAUUUAGGGAGCUCUCUAAUACCCUUUCUAACCCAUUUGAACCAUUCCUAGGGCAUCUAAAGCCAACCCUAGAAGAUCACCAUGAGAGCACAUGGAGCUUCCAUGGAUUUUCAUGGAGUUCAUGCCUUACGAGUGUUUCUAGCUUUGCAAGAAAUCCAAAACCCAAAGAUCUAGAGUAUAAAUCCAAACACUAGAACUAUUCUUGCAUAAGAACUCACCUUAGCCCACUAGCUCCCCAAUGUCCACCUUGUAGGAGAGCUUCUUGACCUUCAAACCCACCAAAAUCACCUCCAAAGCCUUCUUCCCCUUCACCUCCUUGCUCUAGGGUGUGAUUUCUAGAGAGAGAAAGAGGGAAAUGAGAGGGAGAGUGGAGUUGCUGUGUAAAACAGGUGGGAGGGGGUGUUGGGGUCAUAUAUAGCGUGUAACAAUUGCAACUAGGCCCCCCAAACAUUGUAUUUGCAACAGACCUCAAUGUUGCUGCCAGACCAAAGUGUACCGGUACAGGCCUUUCCGUCACCGGUAACACGAUCGCGCAGAGGCAAACCCGAGAGCAGCUUUUCUCGGGCACGCGACAUUUGUACUGGUACACCCAUUUGUACCUUUACAAAAUCGGUUUUCUCUCAAACCCCAGAGCUCUUCCCCUCGGUUUGCCACAAUAUACGAGUACAACCCUGAAGUUGUACCGGUACAAGUUCCAGACGUCAGAUUUUCGCGUCGUUUCGAUCUACUUCGCAACGAACAAGGCUAAAACCUUUCUAACUCCUCUAAACUCACUUCAAACUCUUCCAACCUUGUUGGAACACUUAUUGGAACUUGUCUAACUAUCUCUUUCACAUACUUUAGUCAAGUUGGCUAAAGUUUGAUAAUCUCUACCGAGGUUUCGAUAUAUUACAUAAUUACCCUUUUCCAAGUUUCAAUUUCAUUCUUCCCCUGGAUUAGGGUUGAAAAACCACCUCAAAACCUUGCUUCUAUAGAUGUUAUAACAUCCCUCACCUCAGCUGGUAAUAAGGAACAAGAAAUCAAGUCUAAACUCACUACUAGUACCAACUAGAGAAAGAAAUAGUAUUACUCAGCUUAUUAAGGUGCUACUCAGUUAUUUGCUUAGUUUAGCCUGUCAAAUACCUCCAAAACUCCCUCUUCAACUACACACAACAACCCCCAAACCCUCCAAGGCUGCUAACUACAAAGGAGAAGAGAAGAAUAAGCUCAAACCUUUGAUUCUUACUCAAAGAGAGAGAAACCCUAGAGAGAGAAAGUGAGAGAGAUGCAAACCCCUUUCCCUGAGCUCCAGUAACCCUCAACAACUGCAGGAGUCGUGUUGGGUCCAUUGGAGAUAAGAUUGAGUGUAAAAAGACUCAAAUAGCCUUGCUGCCACGCAGCUACAGUACUGGUACCGGUACUCCGAAAUUCUGUCACUGGUUAACAGUGCCAAAAUACAGAUUUUGCAUUUUGCAAUGCACUUUUGCUUUUCCGGCCACUUGUUCGCUUCAAUAACUUGCCGAAACUUCUCGAUAACCUUUCAAAAGAUGUAGAAUAGUUCCAAUUACCAUUCUAACAUUCGAACUUCGCGACUUGCCAAAGUUCAGUGUACUACAGAACUUCUAUGCCAUUAUGCCAUGCAUUUCAGCAAACGGUCAACUGAUAAAUGAAUGAGUUGCACCUGUAUCAAAUAAAGCUCUAGUUCGAACUCCGUUUACCAACACCAUACCUGCCACGACGUUGCGCUCCUCGACCUCAGCAGGUUCCUCCACUUGAGCGGCAAACACCCGACCACUAGGAGCCCGCCGGGCCAUCUCAGGCUGACGUGGCACCAUCGCAUGUCCAGCAGAUACGACAGUAGAUGGAACUCCCCCAUACUGUCUCGAAGUCGCCGGAGCCGAUGCAACCGACGGGGCAGGCGAGGCCCUUCUUGGGCAGUGACGGUUAAAGUGUUCCGCCUUACCACAUCUGAAGCAUUUCCCCUGGCACUGCUCACAAUUCAUCGGUUGAUGGUCUCCGCCACAAAUGACGCACCGCGGAGUCCCACGACCCUUAGACUGCGUUCGUGGGUACUUCGUGGGCUUCUUGGACUUCGACUGACCUCCCGAACCACUUGGAGCCCGCUUCUUUCCUCCGUCCUUCUCGGACGCCUCACGCUCGACACAGGCAUAGGCAUUACCAUGCUCUGCCCACAACGCCCGAUCCAACACCUUUGCAAAGGUUGUGAGCUUGAGAAUAUGCAUCGCCUUGUAAAUAUCCGGCCGAAGUCCACGCUCGAACCAAUCGGCCCCGUCCUUGUUGUCCCGUACCACAUCGGGAACGCAGUCAAUGAUGUGCAAAAACUCCCGCUCAUAUUCUCCUACCGAGCGGUUUCCCUGUUUCAGCUUCUGAAAUUGAUCCUAAAGCUUCUUCUUCUCACUAUCGGGGAAAUAAUUAGUGAACAUCAAUCCUUGAAACUCCUGCUACGCCAAUGGCGGAAGGUCAGAAGACCGAUCGCACUUGACCCUCUUCUACCACACCUUCACCGAUCUCUCCAAAUAAUGCAUGGCGAGGUGUGCAUUGUCCUUCUCCAAAGUAUAGAGAUCCUCGAAGAGGGUCUCCAUCGAGUCAAUCCACGGCUCAACCAUCCACGGCUCGACAUUCUCCUCGUCAAACAUCGGCGGAUUAAACUUCCUGAACAUCGUGAGGGCCGAGAGUGCAUGCUCCCUCUCGGCUUCCAUCUCCGCGCCUUCGGGAUUUGAAGUACCCGAACCGGUAGCCCCCACCGUCGGUGUGGGCCGCUCUGCAACAAGUACAGCCGUCGUGGCCACACCCUUCGUCAUACCGGGUAUAAUGACAGGGGGCGUAGGUUGCUCAAUAUCCGCCUGAGCCGCCGCCUGCUGCUGUGUCGCCACAUGCGGCGCCUGUAAGAAAAUCAUGUGUACGCAGCGGAAGAAAAUAACACAAUUAAAAAUUUUCUUGAAAAACAAAGAUCACCUCGUGUUUCGUUUUAGAUCAUUAUAAUAGAUCUAAUUGAUCUAAUCAAAUAGGAUCUAUAUUUUAUUUUACCUCGCGUGGGUCGAGAUCACCGCGAAGUCGACAAUCGUUUCUUGCUUGUUCGUCCUCGGUUAGCCGCGCACGCGCCCGGCCUCACUCGCGUCCACACGAAAUCACGCCCUUGAUCGAACUAGACGACCGCUUCAAUCCGUGAUCCGAUCGCGAACUAAUCUCUUGCGUCGACUUGAGGAAGAUGAAUCGAUCUUCUAGAUGUGCUAGCAACUUUUGAAGAUCGAAAUCGAUGGAUUUAUUGUGGAGGACUUAAGAAAGAAAAAGGAUUGACGGCUAGGGUUUUCUUUUUCCUUUUUACUUAAUUUUCCAUUAAUUUUAAUAUGUCAUAUGACAUAUAUUUAUAAUGAGAAAACCUAACGUAAUCCUAAUCGAAAUCCUAUUCCGAUUAGAUUAUCCAUUAACCCACAAGUUGGUUAUGAUAUUAACCGAAUUCCGAAUCCUAAUUCUAAUUCGAUUCAUGUGUAACAUUUACACAUAAGUCCUCAUAUUAUUUACUAAUGAUUAGUAAAUACACCAUGCAACUUUUACACAUAAAUACCUCUAAUUUACAACAAUUGCAAAUUAGUCCUUUUACUAAUAAAUUAGUAAACUUUAGUAUUUAACUAUAUUGUAAUUAUAAUUAAUCCAUCCGAUAAACUUCUUUUAUCGUCUCCUAAAUAUCGAUCAUGCGCGAUUUCUUAUGUGUGUGACCUAAUAGGUUCAAUUCUGUCUGGUAGUGAGAUAUGAUGAGAUCUCCAUCUCCAUCAUCAUCGAAACUCUUUUCGAUGGCUCAAACUCUUUUGAUUCCACCCUAAUAGAAUAAUUAAUAAUUAUUUCUAUUGGUUCCCACAAUCCACCAGUGACGCCUAGCAGCAUGUAGUGGCAAUCCAGUCAGAAGUGAAUAUCGGACUGAACCUCUAGGUGCAGUUACCGUACAAUACAAUCCUUCUAUCGCAUAGUUCCAACUGAGUGGAGGUCAUGGAAUAUUCGUCAAACCCCAUCACCCGUCAUAUGACAAAUUUGAUCAGACAGAAGCUCUUAUGGUUACUCUUGGAAACAUCUUUCCAUACACCAUAUUACCCCGGCCGAGGAUUUCUGAGCUUUGCCGUACAAAUAGCAUAGAACUAAUUAUCUCUCUACCGAGAGCGAUAGAUCCCCUAUAAACACACACCCAUUCCUGAUAUGAACCGACUGCAGCCAACAUAUACUACUAAGACCCAUGGCUAGGAUCAGAGUUUGUUGCAUAGUCAAACUACAGUAGCCUCAUAUUGAAUGACCGUGGUGUCGCAGGUCUAAGGAUCAGUUGUACCACUGCAACAUCGAACCAGUUACUGACGAAUGAGUAGACAUCCAUAUAACUGUUCGUAGUUGGUCAUGCUCAGUACCGUUGUUCUCUAACAACCACCUGCAUGUUCGCUCCAGUGUCCCUACACUGAUGACUCGAGAUUCGUCAUCCCAAAAGGGAAGCGGCACACACAUCAAUCUUACCGGAUCAAUCAUCGUCCCAAUGAUGAUCCUCCGAUUGAGAGCAUUUAUGAAUUAAUCACCAAUAAUAUGUAUCUCAAAUUCUCAACUCUUGAGAAUACAUAUUAUCAUCUUAUUAAUUCAAAGGACGAUUCAUGGACACAUUUAACAUGAAUGGAAUAAAAAGCCCAAUUAUAUAAAUAAUAAAGAUUAAGUACAAAUAUAUGUCCCAUAGAAAAUAAAAUGCGUCAGCCUGAUAGGCUUCUAGGGCAUACAACUAACAGCGCCACCAAUUCUUGCAGCCUUCCAAUUUGAUCCUCUUGGCGCUACAUCACACCAACCAUCGCAGUGACUUGUACUCAUAACUCCCGCACCUCGUCAGAUCCGGAAAGCUCGGGCACCUCAGGAGGUGUUCCCGGAGCGGAUCUUGUCACAAGGCGUCUCUUUCGUGCCAUUAGCUCCUGAAACGCAAUAACUAGGUUAAUCACCUUAACCCACGAACUUCUCGUGAUUCAUGAACAAAAUGACCCAACAUCGAAAUUUGGCGGAAGCACACAAGCAUACUCAUUCUCAACCUUCAGCGUCAUGUUGUCGGCAGCCAACACAACUUCCAUGAGUUGAGAACCAGUAUUACUUGAAUCCGUCUCUAUCAACCAUUAGAGACAUUCUAACAACUACACCCAAUUGACUUAACCUCCGCCACCCGUCAUAGGUCAACGUCACUCACGCACCUAUGACCCUUAUGGUUAUGUCCUAGGGUCUCCUAGGUCCAUCCUAGACUUCUCUCUUUUCAUGUUCUAACACCACUUUAUCUGCCACGCCCCGCAACCGCCAAUUUGGUCGGUUGGGGUACGCCUAAUAGACGCCGAACGGACAGAACCUCCCAUGUCCGCCCAAGGCUCAACAAACAUCAAUCAUGUAUAUCUAGUUGUCCAGGUAAACAUAGUCAACAUACAUAAAUCAUGCAAGUAUAACACAAGCGAGAGCAAGAGAGAAAACUAGCUAUUACAUUCACUUUGCAUUUAACCACCAAAAUACAUAUAUUUGGUUUUCAAGUUUCAUCUCAUGAUACAUAUACAUCUCUCCAAAAGUAACCUCACUCAAUAUACAUCAAGUCUCUCAUUUACACAUGGUACUCUAAUGAGGGAGGCUACUAACUAGGGCGCUAUGCCCUUACCGCGAUCCUCAGCCGGUCCACUCGAGCUAAGCCCUGCAACAAAGUGGGAUGAGAACUAACAAAAGUUCCCAGUGGGUUCGGCCGCCGACUCCGCCGAUUUUCCUACUAGGUCUAAGCAGGCAUAAGUAGAGAUAUAACAUGGUAAUGAAAUCUGCUAACAUAGUAAUGAAAUCUACUAACAUGCUACUAUGCCUCAACAACCUGAUAUGAACGAAGUAUGUAACAUACCAAACUCCCUCGCUUGUGAAGUUUUGGUUGGAACUUGUUCGAAAAGUUAUUAGAGUAGUUCCGGUGAAGUUUGGGAGCGUUCGAGUGUUUUCGGUACGCGUCGGGCACGAAAACAGAACUCAAAAAGCUAUGAUUGGACCUUGGCCGAAAUCCGGCAAGGCAUGGAUGAAAAGAGGGUUUAAACACGCUCGAAAACAUGUUUUGGGGGUCUCGGUAUGAUUAGAUAUGAAUCGGAGGCCCUGGAAGCGAAAAUGAGCGAAAACGGACCAAAGGCUGAAAUUGCUAAUUUUUCGGGCUGGUGGAAUUACGCGGUCCGGACCCUAGCCCUAGGGUUUAGACCCUGAACCCGAAAAAUGCCCAAAAAUAGCAGGGGGCUGAUUGGUAAUUGUGUGGGUUGCUUUUAAAAAGGGGCCUCAACCCCUUCUUCUUCUUCUCCCACAGCAAACACACCACACACACACAAGGAUAGAGAGAGGACCUCUCCUCUCUCUCUCUAGAUAUCUCCUUUCCCUCUCUUGAUCUCUCUCCUAAAAUUGGAGGCUUGGUGGAGAGGAAGCUUGGGAACGUGUUGGGAGCGACGGAUCGAGUCUUCGUGCGCUCGGUGGAGCGGCGUGCUUUCGACUCGGCGUUCGCAAUUUGGUAAGUGUUUAAGAUUUUGGUUAAAUCCUUUGAGCAUGAUAUGCUAGUGAUCCCUAGGAUAUUCUAAGCUUGCUCUCCAUGAAUUUCAUAAGGUAUUUGGAUAAAUGAGAGAUUAGGGCUUAGAAUUGGGGGAUUGGGGGUUUAGGGGUUUUAAUCUAAUUUAACCCUAUGUUUCUCUAAUUGGAGGUUAGAGAAGGAUCCCAAGUAGCUCUAGGUUGUGGAUUGGCGAGUGUUUGGUUGCCGAUUGCGAGUUCGAGUCGAACCGGACCACGUGUGCCGCGGGAGGCCGAUUGCAAGUGACUACAAACAAUCAGAGAGUAAUAUUAGGUGGGUUGUGCCUCACCGAAGCGACUAGGUCGCCUCUAUGUCGAAGUGGAGUAUGGUUUUCUAAUUGAUGCAUAUAUACAUAAUGGUAGUUAAUUGCUAGAUGAAUGCAUGAAAUAGAUGUUAUAUGAAUGCAUGAGAUUCUAUAUAAAUGGCUACCAUUGGAUGACAAAUAUAUGCUAGAAAACAUAUGCUAGUUGAGAAUAUGCAUGUUGACAUUGUGAGGAAUAUAUGCUAGAUGGUAUAUAAAUGUUGACAUGGUGAUAAAAUGCUAAUGGAAUAUGCACGUUAUCAUUUUGUGGAAUAUAUGCUAGAUGGAAUAGACACGUUGACAUAUUGUAGCAUGUGUCGGAUUUAUAUAAAUGUGAACUCAGGUCGAUAACUCUAGGUGGUUAGAGAACUCGACAUUGAAAAACAAGAAUAUGUGAACUAUAAUACUCAAUGUGGACAAUUAGGAUGUCAAGUAGAUUGAGUGGCAUUGAACCUAGUGUUGUGAAACAUAGGUUGGCAUUGAACCUAGAGUCGAGAUCUAGGUGGACAUGACAUAGUGUUAAGUCUUGUGUGUUGACAAGUUUCGUGAAGUGAGUCGGAGUCUUGAAGAAUUGGUGCGUAUCGUCGAAGAUCGAAGAAUUCAAGAUUUCGAAGAAGUUGGAAAAUAACUCAUGAUGUGAAUCACGAUGUCCAGGUAAAGUGUUAAUUCAUAUUAUGGUGAUUCAUACUUAGUUGUAGACAUUAGAAUCAUAAUAUCGAUGUUUAAUGGAUUAGAACCCACUCGGGGCCUGUCGAGAUCCCUCGCCCUGGCGCUGGACGGGUGGUCGCCCUGGCUGGUACUGUGUCGAGGGAGUCCCCUGGCUGGCGGCUGGUAGAGCCGGUGCCGAUGCGGUCGACGGUGCCGGUGAAGAUCCCCUCGGGCACUCGGUCCGGAAGUGGCCCUCUUGGCCGCACUGGAAACACCUCCCUCCCCGCUGCGGGCACUGCGGUGGAAUGUGGGGGCCACCACAGAUCACGCACUGGGGAGGUCGGCGUCGGUCAGAACCUCCACGGUGAGUCGCCGAGCCACGCCCACGCUGCUGGCUCCUCGAAUGCUUCGGCGGCCUCCUAGAGUGCGUCUGGCCCGCACCCUCAGCCGCAGGCCUCUUGGCCUUCCCUUUGUCUCUAGCCUCACGCUGCUCUUGGACAUCCGCCGCGCCGCUCUCCACGAUGAGCGCGCGAUCCACCACCUCCCGGUAGGUUUGGAGGUUAGAGGAUUGCACAAACCGGAAGAUAGACGGUCUCAAUCCCCGCUCGAAGAUGCGGGCCUUGUCCUCGUCGUCCCGCACGACGAAAGGCACGCAAUGCAGAAGCCGAGAAAACUCCCUCUCGUACUCGGCUACGGUCCGGUCACCCUGGCACAAGUUGCGCAAAUCCUGCUCCAUCUUUCUCUUGACGCUGGUCGGGAAAUAGUGCGCCAACAGAAGUUCCUUGAACCUCGUCCAAGUGAUAGCCGCCAAGUCAGUGCUGAGGUGCUCCUGGAAAUCCAACCACCAGCGGUAGGCCUCGCCGUCCAAGUGGUGAGUGGCGAGCCAAACUCUGUCCCUCUCCUCCACGAAGGUGUCGCGGAAGAGCUUCUCCAUAUGCAUCAACCACUUCUCCACGAUCCAGUGGUCGACUUUCUCGCCAUCGAAGAUUCGGGGGCUGCACCUCCUGAACUCAUUGAGGCGCUCCAUCA